AGCCAAAGCUCCAAAGCGUGAUUGCCCCAUUUGGCUGUGUGAUUGGCGGAGGUUCCGGGGUGCUCUUCGUUGAGUGUCCCGGUGCGCCGUCAGGUUUACUUUGAAAAAAUUAGAGUGCUCAAAGCAGGCUUUUCGGGCUUGAAUAUUCGUGCAUGGAAUAAUGGAAUAGGAACUCGUUCCUAUUUUGUUGGUUUUCGGAAUUGAGUUAAUGAUUAAUAGGGACAAUUGGGGGCAUUAGUAUUCAAACGACAGAGGUGAAAUUCUUGGACCGUUUGAAGACUAACUACUGCGAAAGCAUUUGCCAAGAGUGUUUUCA
rnacentral:rRNA from 1 species